rnacentral:rRNA from 1 species
GUCUAUGGUCAUGCCACCCUGAAAAAACCUGAUCCUGGCUGAUCUCGGAAGCUAAGCAGGGUUGGGUCUGAUUAGUACUUGAAUGGGAGACCACCUAGGAAGACCAGGCGCUGUAGGCG